rnacentral:rRNA from 1 species
UACGGAGGGUGCAAGCGUUGUCCGGAAUCACUGGGCGUAAAGGGCGCGUAGGCGGCUCAUGAAGGCUGUGGUGAAAGUCCGGGGCUCAACCUCGGAUCGGCCGUGGCGACUCGUGGGCUGGAGCACUGUAGAGGCGGGUGGAAUUCCGGGUGUAGCAGUGGAAUGCGUAGAGAUCCGGAAGAACACCAGUGGCGAAGGCGGCCCGCUGGGCAGUGGCUGACGCUGAGGCGCGACAGCGUGGGGAGCAAACAGG